rnacentral:rRNA from 1 species
AGUGAACGCUGGCGGCAGGCCUAACACAUGCAAGUCGAACGGCAGCACAGAGGAGCUUGCUCCUUGGGUGGCGAGUGGCGGACGGGUGAGGAAUACAUCGGAAUCUGCCUUAUCGUGGGGGAUAACGUAGGGAAACUUACGCUAAUACCGCAUACGACCUACGGGUGAAAGCGGAGGACCUUCGGCUUCGCGCGAUAAGAUGAGCCGAUGUCGGAUUAG